UACAGAGGGGGCAAGCGUUGUUCGGAAUUACUGGGCGUAAAGCGCACGUAGGCGGCUAUCCAAGUCAGAGGUGAAAGCCUGGAGCUCAACUCCAGAACUGCCUUUGAAACUAGAUGGCUUGAAUCCAGGAGAGGUGAGUGGAAUUCCGAGUGUAGAGGUGAAAUUCGUAGAUAUUCGGAAGAACACCAGUGGCGAAGGCGGCUCACUGGACUGGUAUUGACGCUGAAGUGCGAAAGCGUGGGGAGCAAACAGGG
rnacentral:rRNA from 1 species